rnacentral:rRNA from 1 species
AUGUUUUCAUGAUAGUGGAUAUGAAAUUUGUUCUGCUCACUGAGCUGUUGUUUAAAGAGCUGCAGUAUUUUGACUGUACAAAGGUAGCACAAUCAUUAGUCUUUUAAUUGUGGACGGGGAUGAAAGAUUAGACAAAUAAUUCUUGUCUCAGACCAAGGAAUUGAAUUUUUCGUUUGUGUAAAAAGACACAAAUAAACUUAAGGGACAAGAAGACCCUUUUAAACUUUACUAAGACGGGGUUAUUGAGACGAUUAGAUUUUGUGAUCAUAUAUUAGUUUUGCUGGGGCGGCAGGUAAGAGGGACCCUACUUAUAAUAAAUAUGGUUUGCCUGGAUGAUUGAGUGAGCCUUAGGUUGGCUAAUAAAAUUAGUUACUAAAGGGAUAACAGCGUUAUGUAUUUUGAGAGUUCUUAUUGACAAGUAUGUUUGCGA